rnacentral:rRNA from 1 species
UACGUAGGGUCCGAGCGUUGUCCGGAGUUACUGGGCGUAAAGCGCGCGCAGGCGGCGGUGUUGGCCCGGCGUGAAAGCCCCCGGCUCAACCGGGGGAGGGUCGUCGGGGACCGCACCGCUUGAGGGCGGUAGGGGCUGGUGGAAUGCCUGGUGUAGUGGUGAAAUGCGUAGAGAUCAGGCGGAACACCUGUGGCGAAGGCGGCCAGCUGGGCCGUCCCUGACGCUGAGGCGCGAAGGCGUGGGGAGCGAACGGGG